rnacentral:rRNA from 1 species
AUUGAACGCUGGCGGCAUGCUUUACACAUGCAAGUCGAACGGCAGCGCGGGCUUCGGCCUGGCGGCGAGUGGCGAACGGGUGAGUAAUGCAUCGGAACGUGCCCAGUAGUGGGGGAUAGCCCGGCGAAAGCCGGAUUAAUACCGCAUACGACCUGAGGGUGAAAGCGGGGGACCGAAAGGCCUCGCGCUAUUGGAGCGGCCGAUGUCGGAUUAGCUAGUUGGUGGGGUAAAGGCUUACCAAGGCGACGAUCCGUAGCUGGUCUGAGAGGACGACCAGCCACACUGGGACUGAGACACGGCCCAGACUCCUACGGGAGGCAGCAGUGGGGAAUUUUGGACAAUGGGGGCAACCCUGAUCCAGCCAUGCCGCGAGCGGGAAGAAGGCCUUCGGGUUGUAAACCGCUUUUGUUCGGGAAGAAAUCCUCUGGGCUAAUACCCCGGGGGGAUGACGGUACCGGAAGAAUAAGCACCGGCUAACUACGUG